rfam:Daphnia pulex DAPPTscaffold_354_Cont8971, whole genome shotgun sequence.
GGGGUUUUAACUCAGUGGUAGAGUGUUCGCUUUGCAUGCGAAAAUUCCGGAUUUUUAUCCUCCGCAACUCCA